rnacentral:rRNA from 1 species
AUUGAACGCUGGCGGCAGGCUUAACACAUGCAAGUCGAACGAGUGGCGGACGGGAGAGUAAUGCUUGGGAAUCUAGCUUAUGGAGGGAGAUAACUCCGGGAAACUGUAGCUAAUACCGCUAAACAUGGGAUGAGCCGAAGUGGGAUUAGGUAGUUGGUGAGGUAAAGGCUCACCAAGCCGACGAUCUCUAGCUGGUCUGAGAGGAAGACCAGCCACACUGGGACUGAGACACGGCCCAGACUCCUACGGGAGGCAGCAGUGGGGAAGAUUGCGCAAUGGGGGCAACCUGACGCAGCCAUGCCGCGUGAAUGAAGAAGGCCUUCGGGUUGUAAAGUUCUUUCGGUAGCGAGGCGUUAACUACAGAAGAAGCACCGGCUAACUCCGUGCCAGCAGCCGCGGUAAUUC